rnacentral:rRNA from 1 species
CAGUAGCCACGGUAAUACGAAGGGUGCAAGCGUUAAUCGGAAUUACUGGGCGUAAAGCGUGCGUAGGCGGUGAGUUAAGUCUGCUGUGAAAUCCCCGGGCUCAACCUGGGAAUGGCAGUGGAUACUGGCUCGCUAGAGUGUGUCAGAGGAUGGUGGAAUUCCCGGUGUAGCGGUGAAAUGCGUAGAGAUCGGGAGGAACAUCAGUGGCGAAGGCGGCCAUCUGGGACAACACUGACGCUGAGGCACGAAAGCGUGGGGAGCAAACAGGAUUAGAUACCCCGGUAGUCCCUGUCUCUUAUAC